GCCCCCACACCCGGCUACACACCCUCCCCUACCUGGCUCCCCGAGCGCACGGCGGGUGGCACAGAUCUGCACGCACCCACUCCCCGGGGUCUUUGGACACCGCUGCCUUUCUGGAAAGCUGCCUUGACUUGCGUUACUGAGAACAAACCACCAAGAAGCCUUUCCUCUUGAACUACAAAUGUGCAAAGGCAAAGGCUUCUGGCUUAAUAUGGCUUUUGAAAAGUGAGAGAAACCCAUGCAUGAAAACCCACCUGGGGUUCAGUGCUAAUGAGCAGAUACCUUCACUCCGCCCCUACAGCCACCUGCCUAUGAGCUGUGCACCCACAAACACUGCCUUCUUGCUGUGACUAGAUAGAGAUGGACAGUCAUGGCUUGCGGCGAGGGCCAGCCUCUCUACUUGGGCGUUAGACCCCCAUCUCUUUUCUGCUCUUGCUCUGAGGGAAGUCAGCUGCCAUUUUGUGAGAUGCUCCACAGAGAGGCCCAGCAAGGACCCAAAGCCUGCCACCAAUAGAGCAAGUCACAUGGGAAUGGCCCCUGGCCCAGUGGAGCCUAGAGAUGAGAGCAGCCGGGGCUGACUCAUGAUUGGAGCCUUGGGAAAGACCCUGAGCCAGAGGCCCUCAACAAGGCACCCUGGAUCUCUAACCCACAGAAGUCAUGAGAUUAUCAACAUUUGUUGUUUGAAGCCAUUAAGUUUGGGGAUGAUUUCUUAUGCAGCAGGAGAUAACUAAUAUAUCAUGUGGCUCCAGAAAAUCUCCCCUUUCUUGUUCAAUAGCAGAAUUUUCCCUCCCUACUGAAUCAUUCU